rnacentral:rRNA from 1 species
UAGGGAAUCUUCGGCAAUGGGGGGAACCCUGACCGAGCCACGCCGCGUGAGUGAAGAAGGCUUUCGGAUCGUAAAGCUCUGUUGUUAAGGAAGAACGAGCGUGAGAAUGGAAAGUUCAUACUGUGACGGUACUUAACCAGAAAGGGACGGCUAACUACGUGCCAGCAGCCGCGGUAAUACGUAGGUCCCGAGCGUUGUCCGGAUUUAUUGGGCGUAAAGCGAGCGCAGGCGGUUAGAUAAGUCUGAAGUUAAAGGCAGUGGCUCAACCAUUGUAGGCUUUGGAGACUGUUUAACUUGAGUGCAGAAGGGGGGGGUGGAAUUCCAUGUGUAGCGGUGAAAUGCGUAGAUAUAUGGAGGAACACCGGUGGCGAAAGCGGCUCUCUGGUCUGUAACUGACGCUGAGGCUCGAAAGCGUGGGGAGCGAACAGG